rnacentral:rRNA from 1 species
UGGGGAAUUGUUCACAAUGGGCGCAAGCCUGAUGACGCAACGCCGCGUGGGGGAUGAAGGUCUUCGGAUCGUAAACCCCUGUCGAAUGGGACGAAAGACUCGCGAGUGAAUACUUCGCGAGAGUGACGGUACCGUUAAAGGAAGCCACGGCUAACUCUGUGCCAGCAGCCGCGGUAAUACAGAGGUGGCAAGCGUUGUUCGGAAUUACUGGGCGUAAAGGGCGCGUAGGCGGCCCUCUAAGUCAGACGUGAAAUCCCCCGGCUUAACCUGGGAACUGCGUCUGAUACUGGAGGGCUUGAGUAUGGGAGAGGGAUGUAGAAUUCCAGGUGUAGCGGUGAAAUGCGUAGAUAUCUGGAGGAAUACCGGUGGCGAAGGCGGCAUCCUGGACCAUUACUGACGCUGAGGCGCGAAAGCUAGGGGAGCAAACGGGAUUAGAUACCCAGUAGUCCCUGAGCGGGCUGGCAAGGCGCAU